UACGUAGGGGGCAAGCGUUGUCCGGAAUCAUUGGGCGUAAAGAGCGUGUAGGCGGCCAGAUAAGUCCGCUGUGAAAUCUCGAGGCUCAACUUCGAGCUGUCGGUGGAAACUGUCUGGCUAGAGUCCGGAAGAGGAGAAUGGAAUUCCUGGUGUAGCGGUGAAAUGCGUAGAUAUCGGGAGGAACACCAGUGGCGAAGGCGACUACCUGGCCCAUUCUUGACGCUGAGGCGCGAAAGCUAGGGGAGCGAACGGG
rnacentral:rRNA from 1 species